UGCUCUUAUUGAAAAUUUUCUGCGUAAAAUUUUCUGUAAUAUUGUUUCUCAACUCCAUGAAAUCAGCUUUAAUUUUCACUUUUUGAUGACACAUCCCCACUCUGUUUAGGUAAAAAACAAAGCAAACAACCAUGAAACCAAAAUUAUAUAAGAAGUACAUAUUAUUCUAGCAGCUUGGCACGUUGUAAACUCUUGUCUGUGCCUAGAUCCUGACUUAGAAUUCACGUUCGAUACUUCUCUGGAAGACGUCUGUGUGAAUGAGAAAUUCACAAUUAAAAAUAUGAGGACAAGGCAACACGGGAUCUGACCCGCAUCUGCAACUGACACCACAGCUCAAGGCAACGCUGGAUCGUCAACCCACUGAACAAGGCCAGGGAUCGAACCCACAACCUCAUAGUUCCUAGUCGGAUUCGUUAACCACUGCGCCACGACGGGAACUCCUCUAAUGGUGUUGUUUUAAUUAUUUUUUUUAUCAAGUGGGAGCUGUUCUGUUAUGUACUUGGAUGUAAAACAUAUAUAUACAUAUAUAUUUCAGUGAGUUCUGUAUGUUCAUUUGAAACUUGUCAAGUGCUUAGGUUAUUUUAUAGUUUGUAGUACUUCAAGAGAAAUAUCACAGUGCCUUAUGGAAGCAUCAUGUAACUUAAGAGUAGUUUUAUGAAAUACAUUUUUCAGAGUAAGCAUACUUGACAGUUCCACGUCAGUUUUCCUUUGAACUUCUGCGAACAAAAUAUUUAGCAUAUUGUGUGGUUUAGUCUCCCAAAUGGCCUAUGGGUUAAAUUGCUAAUUAUAGUGUUUAAAUGUAUUGUUUUUUUUCUUUUGUUUAAUAGUCCUGAGUUUACAUCUUUAUAUACACACUUUCCUGAUUAUAUAAUGGGAUCUCUGAUCAUUUGGGCUCUCGGCUUUGCCUCGCUUUAUUACUUAGAAAAAGCUCCCUAAGAAAGUUGAGUUAUAGUUAAGUGAAAAAUUUUUUUCACUUUACCUUGUUUUAGUUAAUACAGUAAAAUAUUCUGUUAUACUGAGCUGUCUCCCACCCUUUAGAAAAUACAUGCCAUGAUUUCUUUGAAAAUUAUACAUUUAUUAUAAAUGUAAAUUUUUUUCUGAUGAACAUGUACUUAUCAGUUUUGAAUGUUUUAGAAUCCAGGUAAAUGAUAAAAUGUCCCCACCCCCUUAUUUUCCACUUAGCAUUUGUUAUUUGAUUGAGAACAUAGUAUAAAGUUGGAUUUUUGGAUAAUAUUUGAAUAUAUUCUGAAAUUAAACUCCAACUAUUUUCUGUCAGGUUUGAAGAUUUGCACUCUCUCAUAAUUAUUUGCUAUGCAUUUGGCAUAAAUUUUUUAACUUCUCCCUGUUUCAUUAUAUCUUUCUCAUCUCAUCAUAUCCCCCCCCAAAAAAAUUAUUUUCUGUAUGUAGGCAGCCAGCAGCUGCAGCUCUGAUUGGACCCCUAGCCUGGGAACUUUCAUAUGCUGCAGGUGCAGCCCUAAAACGACAAAAAAAAAAAAAAAGAAAAACAAAAAACACCUCUGGAGGAAGAACAUUCUAAGGAGAGAGACUGCCCAAAAAAAGCUCCAAGAUAGUGGUAAGCGUGGUCUGUUCCGACUCCAACAAAACUGCCAGUGACCAUGUCCCUGGUCCUGACCAAGGAGACUUGAGGACACAUUUGCUGAAGCGUAUCUGGAGACAGCUGCCUGUGAAUUAAAGAGCCCUCUUUCCCACCCACUGUCUGUCUUUUCUUCCUGUCUUGACACAGUUAGGGGAGGACACCGUGGCCAGAGCUGUGAAAAGCCGUUUUGCAAACAUGAGGCAAGAAGCAACUUCACUCUCCAUCAAACAGAACCAAAGAUUGGAGUCAGGAGCGGGAGAUUCUGAGAGCUCACUCCUAAACCGAGCACAGAGAGGUUGAGUAGCUUGCCGGACAUCACACAGCUCAUAUGGUGUAGAGUUAGGGACUUGAGCCCUGGUAUUUUACCUCCAAAUAGCUGCUUUUAUUUUUUGCACUGCCUCCUUUCCUUACCCACGGCCCUCUUCUCCAGCCAUGUGUGCUCCCUUUUAUUUAGUUCAUUCUGGGUAGGAAAGCUCAGUUCUCCCAGUCACCACAUGGUGUUGAGGACAGAACUUGGCUUUUGAAAUCAGACAGACGUGGUUGGAAUUGCCCAGUGUUCAACUGCAGAAUCCUUGCGAGGGUUGAGAAAAUGAAGCUGGCCUGAGCUUCCAGAACCAGUACCAAAGCCACACUGCUGACCCGAACUGCCAGGAGAGCUGCUGGCUGCAGCUCAGUGCCACUGUCCUGGUCUAGGGGGCAGCCAGCAUAAUCGGGAAGCAGCCACUGCCGCUCCAGCCUGUCAACGUGUCUGCCCCAAUCCACGCCACAGAAUGAGAGCCCGACUCCUUAUCUCAUCCGGGGCCUGUUUUGCUCUUUCCACCACAUCACCGGUGUUCUGCAGCAUCAGUGCCAUUGUCUUCUUGUUGCUGUUAGCCCUCUCACCUCCCUAGUGCCAGAAAUACUACUCCCGGAGCAUGUCCCCUGUCACUGGUUCCCACCCGCCCCAGCUCACCACAGUGACAGUUUUCCCAGAUUCUCCCUCCGCCAUUCCUGCCAUCCUUGCUUCCAGACAGGUGUGUGCCCUGGAAACACUCCCUGACAAACUUUCAACACACAACCCUCUGCCUCAGCGCCUGUUCACAGCGAUCUCAGUCCAAAGCAUUUGGUACUGGAAGUGGUCCUGGGAAACCGACCCUGAAAUGGAAGUUUAAUGACUCAGCCUUAAAAAAGGAUGAAAUAGUGCCAUUUGCAGCAACAUGGAUGGACCUAGAGAAGAUCAUACGGAGUGAGGUAAGCUAGACAGAGAAAGACAAAUACUGUAUGCUAUCACUAUAUGUGGAAUCCUAAAAAGUGAUUCAAAUGAACUUAUUUACAAAACAGAAGCAGACUCACAGACAUAGAAAACAAACUUAUAAUUACCAAAGGGGGAAGGAUAAAUUAGAAUACAUUUAGCAGAUACAACCUACUAUGUAUAAAAUAGGUAAACAACAAAGUCCUCCUGUGUAGUACAGGGAACUAUACUCAAUAUCCUGUAAUAGACCAUGAUGGAAAAGAAUCUGUAUGGCUGAACCACUUUGGAGUUCCUGCUGUGGCUCGGUGGGCUGAGAACCCAACAGUGUCCGCAGGGUGUGGGUUUGAUCCCUGGCCUCACUCAGUCGGUUAAGGAUCAGGCAUUGCUGCCAGCUGCAGUGUAGGUCACAGAUGUGGCUUGGAUCCAGUGGUGCUGUGGCUGUGGUGUAGGCUGGCAGCUGUAGUUCCAAUUUGACCCCUAGCCCAGGAACGUCCUUGUGCCACAGCUGCAACUGUAAAAAGAAAAAAAAUAUAGUAACUGAACCACUUGGUUGGACGUCAGAAACUAACACGACAUUGUCAGUCAACUGUACUUUAAUUAAAAAUAAUUAAUUAAAUUACCUGGUGGUGCAGUGGGUUAAAGAUACAGCACUGUGGAGUUCCCUUCUUGGCGCAGCUGAAAUGAAUCUGACUAGGAACUGUGAGGUUGUGGGUUCGAUCCAUGGCCCCGCUCAUUGGGUUGGAGAUCUGGCAUUGCCGUAAGCUGCGGUGUAGGUCACAGACGUGGCUUGGAUCUGCUAUUGCUGUGGCUGUGAUAUGGGCUGGCAGCUGUCGCUCUGAUUCGAUCCCUAGCCUGAGAACCUCCAUAUGCUGCCAGGGAGGUGCUAAAACGCAAAAAAAAAAAAAAAAAAAAAAAAAAAAA
rnacentral:lncRNA from 1 species